rnacentral:rRNA from 1 species
AACGAACGCUGGCGGCGCGCCUAAUACAUGCAAGUCGAGCGAGAAGACGUAGCAAUACGUUUGUAAAGCGGCGAACGGGUGAGGAAUACAUGGGUAACCUACCCUCGAGUGGGGAAUAACUAGCCGAAAGGUUAGCUAAUACCGCGUACGCUCCUUGGACUUCGGUUCAGGGAGGAAAGCGAUACCGUGGGUAUCGCGCUCUUGGAUGGGCUCAUGUCCUAUCAGCUUGUUGGUGAGGAACGGCUCACCAAGGCUUCGACGGGUAGCUGGUCUGAGAGGACGAUCAGCCACACUGGCACUGCGACACGGGCCAGACUCCUACGGGAGGCAGCAGUAAGGAAUAUUGCGCAAUGGGCGAAAGCCUGACGCAGCGACGCCGCGUGGGGGAUGAAGGUCUCGGAUUGUAAACCCCUUUCGGGAGGGAAGAUGGAACGAGCAAUCGUUCGGACGGUACCUCCAGAAGCAGCCACGGCUAACUUCGUGCCAGCAGCCGCGGUAAC